AAGCGAAACGUGAGGCCGCAUUUUGCGACCUCACGUCUGCCGGGCGUGGCGACCCGGUACUGACGAGCAGCCAUAA
rnacentral:hammerhead_ribozyme from 1 species